ensembl:lincRNA
UUUCCCCAAAGCAGUUCAUAGAAACUAGAAUUCUUCUUUAAUUUGUCCUUUUUCCCUUGUUCUUGAGGGACCUUCCUGUGACUGGCAUUCUGCCCUGUACCUAGAGGAAGAAGCACUACACAAAGGAGACCAAGAAGAAUCUGAACAAACGGGCCUUGUUGCGUUUCCUCUCAAUUUAUUACCAUUAGAUCGUACUCUUUUGUGCAAUCACAUUCCUACAUGGCUGUGCAUUCUUCAUCAAACCUCUUUUAUUAUAGGAAUAUUUGUCCUGGACUUUGAAAUAGAGACUGAGAAUUUCAAGGUCGAUGAGCUUGCAUCUGGCAAGGGCCCUCUCACCGCAACAUCUGGUACAGAAGGCAGAAGGACGAGGGAACGCACUUGAGAGAUGGAACUGGCAUUCACGCAUGCGUGAGGACGGGGCCCUCAGGACCUAAACGCCUCCCCUUGGGCUCCAGUUCCCAACACUAUUUUCUUGGGGAUUGGGUUUUCAACACAUGCUAUUCCGAUUCAAGCCCUAGCACCCUCUCCCUGGACUAGUAGGAAGCAAACCUCUGACGUAUCGUUGCAGUCAUAAAUACUGCAACAUUUGUUUCUAAAAUGUAAGAAGAAUUUGAAAAUAUACCCUCAAUACUCUAGUCACGCAUGAGAAAUUAGUUGGUCCCCUAAUAUCAUCUAGUAUACAAUCCAUGUUUAAAUCUUCCCAUUUGUCUCAUUUUUUAAAAAAUUAAAUUCAUGUAAAUGAGAAUCUAAUGAAGACCCACACACUGCAAAGGAUGUGGGGUUUUUUUGUUGUUGCUAUUGUUUGUUUUUUUGUUUUUUGUUUUUGUCUUUUUGAAACAGGGUCUCGCUAUGCAGUUCAGGCUGACCUUGAGCUCACUUUGUAGCCCAGGCUGGCCUCGAACUCCCAACGAUCCUCCUGCCUCAGCCUCCCGAGUGCUGGGAUUACAGGCGUGCACCACCACGACCGGCUUGCAAAGGGUGUGUUUAAAUCCCUUGUAGGAAAUAAUUUUCUCAUUCAUGGCUCCUCCCCCUUAUAAUUUAUUUGUUGAGGGUGUUGGAUUAUUUGUCCUGUAGAAUUUUCCAGUCUGGGUUUUUUUCACUGCAUUAUCAUUGCAUAUUUAACAUCUUCCUUUCUGUCCUGUAUAUCCUGUGAUCCUAAAUGAAUAUCAGGUUGAGUCUUUGUGGGAAUGCUUCAUAAAUUGUGCUGUGUAUUUCCUGUCUUUAGGCAAAUAAUAUCUGGUAAUGUUAGCAGCCUCCGAUGAUAAGCAUCUAGAUCUGUUAAUCACGAGGAGUUUCAAAUAGUGAUACUCUAUCAUUCCACCUUCAUUUAUUAGCUGCAAUACUUCUAUAAAAAGAAAUAUCCCUUAUCAACAAUUUGGUUACCCGGAAGGACAGAUUGUACAGGAAGUAUGAGAUCAAUGCUUUAUUAUUUACCAAUUUCAAAACAGUGAGCUAGUUCUCUAGCAUUUGCCAGAGAUGACCAAUGAGGUUUUUUAAAUAUCAUGGUGAAUGCGUGGAUUGUUUCAAUCCAUUGUCAUUAUUGUUCUUAUUAACAUUUAACGGAGGCUGGUGAUAUAACUCAGUAGCAUAAGCGCCUGCUUGGCAAGCACAAGGUCGUGAGUUCGAUCCCCCGUACAGCAAAAAAUAAAAAAUAAAAAAUAAGAUAAAAUAUUUAACUAAUGCUGUCUUUGACCAGUGAAGGUUUAUUCAGGUUGGCUCUUGAGUCUCUUCGACGUGAUCCUAGUAAUUUCCUUAAUUCCUAAUACGACAAGCUUCCUUAUAGUCAGAUUCAGCUCAUGUGUUUUCUACCGCAAGUUGGGAUUUUGUUUCUCAGUGCUGAGGUACAAACCUAAGGCUCAUGCAUGCCAAACGAGUGCUCUACCAGCGAGCUACACCUCCAGCUCCUGGUUCCUUUUAAUGAGUGAAUGAGGCUGUGAGACACAAUCUGGACUCAAGGUUGUCAGGCUACUGGGUCAAUCAUAGAGUGCAAGCCUCUUUAGGAGAAAGAGGAAACAUCCCCUCCUCCUCUUCCUUCUCCUUCUUCUGAAUGUAUCAUGAGUUUGUGUAUGACACUUUCAAACAGCAAUACAAGAUACUUUCUUAAUCUCAUCACCCUCACAUUUAUAUUGUCUUUCCCUUAUCAAAAAUCCCAAUUUUCAAAGACAUCAAUAAAAUUACUUAUUCACUUGCUUUCACAAUAAGCAUAGAGCUGUCUUAGAAUAAUGAUUCCAAUACUACUGCCAAAAAUAUGACAACCAAAAUCCAGUUAAAGUUGUUACAUACUGAGCUGGGGAUUUAGCUCAGCGGCACAGCACCUGCCUGGCAAGCAUGAGGUUGUGGUGUGGGGGGGGAGAAAGUUGGGGCUUCAUUUGGGGCUUAGGAUAUAUCACAAUAAUUAAAAUCAAGUUAGCCGGGUGUGGUGGCACAUCCCUGUAAUCCCAGCACUCAGGAGGCUGAGGCAGAAGUAUUGUUGCGAGUUCGAGAUCAGCCUGGGCUACAAAGUGAGCUCAAGGCCAGCCUGAACUGCAUAGCAAGACCCUAUCUCAAAAAGACAAUCAAUCAAUCAAUAAAUAAAUAAAUAAAUAAAUAAAAUCAAG